GAAUGUAUCUAAGAAGCUCCAGUUUCCCCAGUCUCCUCAGCACUGAAGCUUUAACCCAGAAGUAUACUGUAAGAUGUUCUUUAAAAAUAUUUUUUGUUUGAUUUCAUGAAUAAAUCUCCUUGUACAUUGUUCACUUUAUUAUUGAACUUUCUUUAUACUUUUAUGUGCUUUAGAUUGCAAUAGAUAUUAAAUCUGCAAAGCGAGAACUGAAGAAAGCAAGAACAGUCCUACAAAUGGAUGAACUCAAAUGUCGCAAACGUGUUUUAAGAAGGUUGGGAUUUGCUACUUCUUCUGAUGUAAUAGAGAUGAAAGGACGAGUGGCUUGUGAGAUAAGCAGUGCUGAUGAGCUCCUUCUAACUGAGAUGAUGUUUAAUGGCCUUUUCAAUGACCUUUCUGCAGAACAGGCAACAGCAUUAUUAAGCUGCUUUGUGUUUCAAGAGAAUUCUAGUGAGAUGCCCAAAUUAACAGAACAAUUAGCAGGACCACUUCGUCAAAUGCAGGAAUGUGCUAAAAGAAUUGCAAAAGUUUCAGCAGAAGCCAAAUUGGAAAUUGAUGAGGAAACUUAUCUAAGCUCAUUUAAACCUCACUUAAUGGAUGUAGUAUAUACCUGGGCAACUGGAGCUACAUUUGCCCAUAUCUGCAAAAUGACAGAUGUCUUUG
rnacentral:sRNA from 1 species